GUGUGUGUGUGUGUGGGGGGGGGGGGGGGGGGGUAAAUGACAUUACGCAGCGUCCGGCGUCGUUUUCUGACAGACUUGUGGCGGUAAAUGAAACAAUUUACAUCGCAAAGACGAUUUUAAUCGCGCGGCAGAGCGGCUUCGCGCGGAUGGAGGCGCCGACGCGCGAGGCAGGGACCGGGAAGGGAGGGAAGGAGAGGUGGAGGGGGGGGGGAGUGGGGGGACGGACACGGAGCGCCGGAGUGGGAGGGAGCCGAGCAAUUAUUAUGAUGAUGACUGACUGACUGACACACAGCAUCCAAAUAACGUCAGAGACUUUAUUGGGAAUAAUAGUCCGCCGAAAAGCGCUUCUUAGUUUCUCGGGGAGGAAAGAAAAAGAAAAGAAGGAAAAAAGAAAAGAAAAGAAAGGGGGAAAAAAAAGCACGCGCGCGCGCGUAUAGAGAGACAGAGAGGAGUGCGUGUUGUUGGAGCUGCGAAUUCGCUGCAAAAUAACGUGGCAAAAAAUCAUCACGAUGAUGAGAGAGAAAGAAGAAGCGGAGACGCGCGGGCGCCGAGGAUCGUCGGGAUCGUAAAGAAUUAGAGCGUCGGGCGGCGUUUCUCGGGAAGGUGGUGCUGCCGUGAACACAUGAAGGAGGUCUGCGCGACGGGCAGGACCAGCCUCACCAGCAGAGCAAAUCAUCGAUUUUGUCUUUGAUCACAAAGACAUUCAGAUGAGCAUCCACAACAUACAAUGCAGGCUGUUGCAACGUGAAUGUUUUACACGUUGAAUCCUCGUAAUGUUUACAUUAUCAUGGAGUCUGCCUGACUCCGAUUUGGAAGAAAUGGACGGCUGGAAGAGGACAGUCCUGCGAAGGCGGGGACUGGGCAGUGGACUGGCGUGGGCUCUGCAGAUGGAAGGGCCGAGGGCAACGCUCAUGGGAUAGGCUGGCCGACACACACCAUGGUGGUCUCUGUCCAAUCUCACAAACACACCAGUAGAGAAGUUUAAGCCCCGACCGAACCAGAAGACAGUGCCAGAGUGACAGUGUGAGUUGACAAAGGGCCCCUUCUGUCACAGAAGGUUCUAGAAGGUUUUCAGCAGUGACCUGCAGUCGACAGCACAGACCCCCUCCAAGCCCCAAGUAGGCUCUUUGUAUCAGAGGUAAGAUCCUUUUAGUUACUAUCGUUGGCAUACAGGUAAUGAAUAUAAGCCUAAAAACUACUACAAUGCAUAUAUCAAAAUAUAUAGAUAGUGUUGUUUAAUAUCAUUCAACAUUUUUAUGUACAAUCUAGGCAGUGCUCAUUAUCCCACCAAAUGACAAUAUUCUGAACU
rnacentral:lncRNA from 1 species